UCUCAAAUCUGGAUUAGAAGAAAAAAACUUCUGGUGAAUAUAUAUUAAUGAUCUUGUCAACUUCUAUCUUUAUGAGUAGCCUGUCACAAUAUUUAUAUAUUGUUUUAAAGUGUUUAGAUGUUAGUAAAAGAAGAGGGGAAACGUACUUUACUCUUGGGUUACUUUGAACAAGCUUCUGCCCAAUAGCUGGAACUGGUCAUCAUAUAGGUAGAAACUUUCUGAAAAGAUAUUUUUUUCUUUUCCAUUUUCAAAGUUUAUGCACAGAAAAUUUGAAGUGUUUUUUUUCCCUUUCAGUAUUUUAAUUUUUUUUUUUUUAACUUUGCCACUUUUCUUGAUUUUAAGUAAAAAUGAAAAAUUUUGUUUUGGUUUGGAAAAUAGCUAAAUCAGUUCCCCCUUCUCCCUCUCCAGUACUGGGAAUUGAACUCAGGACCUUCACACUGACCUACAUCCCCAGCCCUUUUAAAAUAUUUUUUAUUUUAAGCUAGGGUCUUGCUAAGUUGAAAUUGAGCUCUUCCUGCCUCAGCCUCUCAGAGUGCUAGGAGCAUCUUUUAAACAGAUAUUCUCUGAACUGAAAUAAAUAGAGCCAUGUGUGCUGAUGGACACCUGCAGUCUCAGCACUCAGGAGGCUGAUGCAGGAUGAUCUCAGGUUUGAGGCCAACUUGGGCUACAUUGCAAGUUCAAAGUUGGCCUGGACUACAUACCAAGAAAGGCCCUGUGUCAAAAAAGAGAUGGAGAUGGACCCUUGAUGAGAGACUUUCUAACAUACAAGGUAAAAUUGUCAUGGAAAUGUAUUUCUUUUCUGCGUUUUAUGUAACUGGUGCUGAAUGGAUGCAAACUCUGGACAGGAGAGUCAAAGCAUCUUUAUUUAUGAAACGGAUUGGUUGGUUGGUUGAUUGAUUGAUUGAUUGAGGUGUCAACAGUCCCUCCUGAUAAAUCCUAACUUUUUCUCUCUUGGUCUAUUUCUGGAAAUAAAACAAUCACCUUUACUCACUCUUGCUCUUUGGUGCCUUAGCUUCUGAAAUCUUUCCCAGGUUCAGAGGAAUAAUCUGAGGUUAAAGGGAGCUGUCUACAGCCUGGUUCUUUAUAUUCUGAUGGAAGUUUCUUGGGCUGUAGUUUUCCUUUUUGAUUGCUUCUUGAUCUUUAGUAAGCAUAUGAGGAU
rnacentral:lncRNA from 1 species